CUCCUUACCUGGACCUGAUUUUGAAGCUGUUAAAGUGGGGGGGGGGGUUGUUCUUGGGCAAAAUUAAGGUGUACCGUGUGGAACAUGAGCUUUUACCUGUUUCUUAUUUUGAAACUGUUAAGAUUUGAAGGAGAUGAGCUUGUUCUUUGGCAAAAUUCGUAUUUGAAAUGGAAUAUGGUGAGGUCAGAGUCGAAAAAGAACUUUGUAUGCGAUGCUUGACAAUGAGAGGAAUUUAAGAGCCCUCUACGCUAUCCUCUGUACUUCCCUUAGUCACUUAAUGACUUCUCUUUUUUCCAAGAGUAUUGAUGGAAUAAAGCUCCCUGAACAAAGAAUGUGCCAUGUGGAUGCUGUGCCUUGUGCCAACUUUACUUUAAUACUUCCCUCCAUUUACAGUCAGGCAAUUACUUAAAUAAGCAUGCACAACCAGCAUGAGAACGUUAACCCAGCAGUGUCAGGCCAGCGCCUGCGUUUAUCUUAUGUGUUAAGAGUACCUGCAUUUCACAGACAUGGUAGCCAGGAGAUAAUGUAUUCAGAGUCAUUAUCAUUAAAAUCUGCAUCCUUAUUUAUUAUUAACAAGCAGUUACAUGAUACAUUUUAGAGUUUUACUGGGACUUAAUUUGCAUUUUAUCCUCCUGAAAAACAAUCCAGUGUCUUCAGUCAGAUCCACCUCAUUAUUCCUCGGAUUUAUUAUACUGCAGAUCAAAUUUCGGGCACUGUCCACAGGGCAAUACGGUACCCCUCCUUUUCUGUUAAGACGCUGAGUGUUUAGGAGUCCUGUUGUGGCGCAGCAGAAGCAAAUCCGACUAGUAUCCAUGAGGAUGCGGGUUCCAUGCCUGGCCUCGAUCAGUGGGUCGGGGAUCCGGCGUUGCCGUGAGCUGUGGAGUAGCUCACAGACAGGGCCCUGAUCCUGCGUGGCUGUGGCCGGCAGCUGUAGCUCCGAUUCGACCCCUAGCCAGAAACUUCCAUGUGCCGCGGGUGUGGCCCUAAAAAGCAAAAAAAAAAAAGAGGAUUAGACCCAGCUUCAAAUCCUAUCUCCACUUCUUGUGUAGCUGCGUGUCCCUAGACAAGUUGCUUAACCUCCCUGUGCUUAGUUUUCCCAUUCAUAAAGGAGAGCUGACAUCAGGGUGUUUUGAGGAUUAAAUGAGAUAAUCCAUGUAAUGGUAUUUAAUACAAUGUAAAUCCGAAGGAAGCCCUCUGCGUUAGUCACUGUUAUUUUUUAAGUGCCAUUAACGGUUGUACUGAACUCACAGACUUUAUAAGAUUUAUUCGUGAAUCUUCCAUAGAGAUUCUUCUUUUUUUUUCUCACUUGAGAUUUAUUGAUUUAAUUAUAUUGCAUUUCUCCAAGCAGAUAUAUGAACCCUAUUUCUUUUGCAUUGUUUCUGCUAAUGGAAUGAAUGUAAAAUAUUAAACCUUAGCAUCUAAGAAGAGGAAUUUCCCGUUUUCGCCCAUCUGUUUCCAUCUGUAUUACUAUCAUUGUUUUAAAGUAUACUGAAUCUCACACGUAACCCUGUCAGACUUUUCUAGAUUCUUAAGGAGGUAAAAGGUUAAGCAGUUGCUUGGAAGCUGGUCGCCAAGUUGGAAGGGGUAGUGUUGGCGUGGUCGGCUGAAGCACUGCUUUGUUUCUUUUGAACUUUAAAUUGCUUAUUCAUCCAAAAUAGGGAAAAACUGAGUGUCAAGAAGAAUCUUACAUUUGUUUGGGGAGGGGAAAAAAAGUCCUAACAGUGAGACAUCACACCUUCAAACAUCCUGUGAGCUGCUGUUGUGAGCAGCCUACCUGAGGGACAGCUGUGACAAUAGACGCUCAGUGAAUCCUUCAGCUUCCUUCUUGCUUGACGUCAUCCCUUGUGCAUUGCGAUCUGGAGGCGGGACGGGGUGGAUACACUUGGUAUAGGCAUGAUUACUAAUAGUUUUGUUACCAAGGAUUUUUCCGUUUCUUCAUGAAUUAUAACAGACCCUGUAUUUGUUAGGAACAGUUUGGAGACAUCAGUGAAGUCCGAGUAAUCCCUUAAAAUGUUACUCACUCCUGGGAAGAAGGAAAAAAACUGUGCCUCGGUCUCUCCUGUGUUGUUCGAGUAAGUCCUCUUUUGGCUGGGUUCUGACACCGUCUGCCCACCCACUGCUACUCAGCACUGCACCCUGACAGAGGGACCUUUCCAGAGCAUGCUUUGGUGGCACCACCCCUUUACGGGAAAAUCUUCACUGCUCCUAUGUCCAAAUAUAGAAUCCAUGCGGACUUCUCUGCAUCCCAGCCUCCCGCCUCCUCCCCGCUGCCGGUGCUGCUACACACCGGUGGCCGGAGAGCUUUCUGUGCGGAAGCAUGGCCAGAGAGCUUUUGAAAAGGCGGCUUCUCAUUUUCCGGGCCCGGGAUGGGACCUGGGAGUUUGCAUUUCUGCCAGGCUCCCAAGUGCUGCUGCUUCAGAGACCCAGCUCUGAUGAACAAGGCUCUAGAAGAGACCCAGGCAAACUUUUCCGUAAAGGGCCAGAUGGCUUCAGUGUCUGCCUCUGUCAGGGCUGCUCAGCCUGCCUGUGCAGCAGCGAAGCAGAAAGCGGCUCAGGACCAGCUCAGGCCAACUGGCAGGGCUGCGUUCCAGGCAAACUUUAUUUACAAAAAGAGGCCAGAUGUGGCUCACAGGCAGAGUUGGCUGGACCCCUGUUCUGGGUGUCCCCCGUCGCCCCGGUGCUUUGGCAUCGUUUGGAGGGUAGGGCCUUCUCCGGCUCCCGGCAGGCUCGCUGGCUCGGCUCGGCCCAGGCCGCACCCCCUCCCUCCCGUGCUUCUCCCCGGUUCAGCUUUCUUUUCCCAGCACCCGGUCGGUGCUCUGCAGUGUUUCAGUAUCUCAGCGACCGUGCUGAACGUUUCUAGUUCCUUUGCUGGCCCAGCACGCCUCCGCUGCGCCACUCUGCCCUGGCCCUGGCUCCUUCAGGGAACAUUGGGAGAAUGGAGUGAUUCAGCAUCUGCAAAGCGAUGAGAACAGCGCCUAGCCUGUAGCCAUCGCUUUAUGUAUUUGCUUUUCAAUUUUUUUUUGUACUAUCACUCAUACCUGUUUGUUUUUAUUAAGAUUAAUUGUCUGAUGGGAGUUCCUGUCAUGGCUCAGUGGUUCAUAAAUCCGACUAGGAACCAUGAGGUUGCAGGUUCGAUUCCUGGCCUUGCUCAGUGGGUUAAGGAUCCGGCGUUGCUGUGAGCUGUGGUGUAGGUUGCAGACGCGGCUCAGACCUGGCGUGGUGUAGGCAGGCAGCUACAGCUCGUAUUGGACCCCUAGCCUGGGAACCUCCACAUGCCGUGGGAGCGGCCCUAG
rnacentral:lncRNA from 1 species